ACUUGGACCCAGCAUAUUGUGAUUUUUUAAUUACGACCUUCAGGUAUAGUUGUAUGCAACAUCAAAAUACUUAAAAUUAUAUUUAGAACACCCUUGAAAUAGUAGAAGUUUAAUAAUUCAAAUUAGCUAAGUUUUGAAAAAAUAAUCAAAAGUUUUGAAAUGGUGUUAUGGUUGAAAAGAUAUUAAUUUUCUUACUAAAGAAAUUUCUUUUAUUAAAUCAUAUUAAUGAAAUUACCUUCAGAGUUUUAUUCUCACUUUUGUUUUACAUUAGAAUGUCCUCAUCAUCUAAGAAAAAAUCAAUUAUUCAUAAAUUAAAGUUUACAUUGUGAUCAAGUUGACACAAACAGAAUAAUCAUAUAGCUCAUACAAUUAGCUCUGUUGCUGUAAGGCCUAAAAUAAUUAUUACAAAAGUAUGAAAUAUUUUAAAGAAGUAAAAUAAUGACCAUUUUAAAUUGUAAACGAAAUUAUUUAAAUACUAUUUCGGUAUUCCUAUACGAUUAAGAUUACAAAAAUAUUUAAAAAAUUGAUAAAAAAAUAAUAGAUAAUUUUAUUGAAAAUUUUAUGAAACAUUUACAAAGGAAUGAUAUAAUUUUACUGGAUUUAAUACCAUAAGAUUCAAUGCAAAUGAUUAUUUUUCUUAAUAUGAAAAAUAAAAUAAAUUUUCUGAGCUCUUCUAGUUAAUUUUCUGAAAAUAUUUUUAUAUUAAAAUUUUAUAUCAAAUGAUGGUUGACUACAUAAUAAAAUCUUGAAUUUUCUAUUAUUCAAAUGAUGUUUGACACAGCAUCCAACACAGACUAUCUAAUGGGAUGAUAAAAAAAGUGCGUUUUGCAAAGUAGUUAUCAUAGAAAUCAAAAAAUAGUUAACAUAAAUUUUAUAGAAAAUGUACAGUAUUAAUUUUUGUAUGAAUUCAAUUGUAAAAAAAAUCAUACAGAUGACAUAUAAAUAAAAUUUACAGCAAUUGAAGCAUCAUGUAGUAAUUUUAAAUAUAUAUAUAUAUAUAUAUAUACAUGCACACACGGUUUUUCAUGAAGUUGUGAAUGAAUAUUUAGAUUACUAAAACAAUACACAAUACUACAGGAAAAUAUUCUCUAUUCUAAUAAAAUAAAUUUGUUACACAAUUGCAUGUAUUGAGGGCUGAAAUGCACAAUUCCCUAUCUGAAAAUGGUGGUUUUGUUGGUCUAACUUGAUACAUGGAAUGUUACUCCAUGCUUUGACCUUGACAUUAAAAAACAAAAUCAAACAUGAAUUAGGAGGUCCAAUCCAUAUAUUUCCUAUUCCUGCAACAACAUUUAAAUGCAAAGGCACUUCAUAUGAAAAUGCAGAUUGAGAAAAAUUAGAACAAAAAUACUUUGAAGGCAUUGGAGGACCAUAUGUCACAAAAUGUGGAUGUGAAGAUGAUGCAUUGCCUAUACUUGAACUUGGUGAAACAAAUUGAUAUACUUGAAUAAAUGUUUUUCUUCCUUCAAAGCUCCACGCUACUCCAAAAAGAUGAUUCUCAUACUCUACAAGAGUUGGAGGAUCUCUAUAAAAUAACUUCAAAUCCAAUGAAUUAGAAGGAGUCUCUUUUAUCCAUGGAUAAAUAAUCCAAGCUAGUAUACUCAAGUUAUAAGAAAUGAUAUAGAUUUUGGAUUCUACGGAUGUUUUGGGAUCCAAAACAAUUCCAACAACACCAUACAUUGUCAAUCCACCAUCAAGAUCAUUUGUAAGUAAGGGAAGAGCAUUAAUUUGUUUUGCAUUAGAAAUUAUAGGAUUAGCUUUGUAAGGUUUAUUGUGUUCUAUCCCAUACUUAUUAGAAGAUUUGCAGAUUGCAAUGCAAAACUCCAACUUUCUAAUCUUACACAUACCCAUAAAAUAAAUUGUAUAACCAUCUCUAUUACUAGUGACGGACAUUCGAGCCGAUGGAUACUCAAAAGAAAAGGUAAGCCGAGGUAAAACUUGGUAGGUUCAAGUGUUAGGAUUAUAUACUAGAAGAAUAAGUUGUGGGGGAGGUAUUGAUUGAUAAUUGUAGGAUGUCUUUAAUGCUAUGUUUUGAUUAUUUUUUUGGAUGCCAGGUAGCAAUAAUAACCCUCCAUCUCCCGCUAGAAUGCCUAAGAUAUGGAUGGAUAGAAAUUCAAAACAAGAAAAUUCUAUCCAUUUUUUUUGUUUCAUGUGAAAUGUGUAAAAUCCAUUAUUCUUUUUGUAUCAAACAAAGUUGGACAAUAUUCUUUGUUGUGUUUCAAGUGACCUUGUACAUAAUAAUUUUGACUUGCAUCUAAAAGUUUUUUCCUCCAUUGUGGAACUACCCAACAUGAUGCAAAUAGCUUUGCCACUGGCAAUUUCUACAAUAUCAUAUCCCUAAUUUUUUUCUUAUUGGGGAUUCCAUGAGAAUUUUAUAUAGUGAUCCACCAAUUGUGAAUACUCAUGCAUGAAAAUGAGGUUUUAUUCUGUACAAGAUCAUCUGAAUAGACAUUAUUAUUUUUUUCCAAUUCUAGUGAAACUUUUAUUGGAUCUACUCCCCGAAGUCCAAAUGCAUCACUUCCCAUGAACUCAUUUGUGCUAUGAACCAAGAGGUUAAGAUUUAAAUUAGUAAUAUCUUCAUAAUUGGAUACCAUUGGUAAUGCAUCACAUUUCACUUUGUAAUAAGAAUGAGUUAGAUCACUAAACAACCAUUGCACUUUUUUUGGUGCAAAUCGAUGACUUUCUAUUGCAAACAAAUUCUUUUUUGCUCGAAUACCUCUUGCCCAACCCUCUAUCCUAUUUUUGUUAAGGAAAUCAUCCAUGCAAGAGAUGGAACCCUUUUGUGAUUUUUUUUCGGGUAUUCCAUCUACAAGAAUUGGAUCUCGGAGAAGAUUUGAAUAAAGUGAACCACGACUUGGUUUUAAUUUUUCUAAUGGUCUUCUUGGCACAUCAUCCCAACCAACAAAAGUUAUCACAUACUAUUUUUUUUUAUAGAAAAGGUUGAAAAGGCUUAAAAACUUAUUUAGUAUUUAACCUGUUCUUUGUUACAUAAUCAAGACAUUUUAAAUUUUCGAAAUUAAAAAAUACACUAUUAAAUAUAUUUUUUUAUUUUUUUAUUUUUUUAUUUAUAUAUGCAUUUGUUGAGUUUCUUAAAUUUAAUUAAAUAUUGAUGAUUCUUUUUAGUGCAUCCAUCAGCUUAUCUUUUCUUUUCUUUUCUUUUUCUCUUACUGAAUAUUGUUCAGUUUGUAUCAAUAAGGUGAAAAAUAGAUAUUAUAUACUAAAUGUUGAAAUUGACUCGAUACCUUAAUAUUACUGGAUAAAUAAAAUAAAAGAAGUGAUACAAUAUCAUGAGUUUCACAGAUUGUCUUAAAAUUAACACCUAUUUGUAAUAAACUAGGACUUGUGCAAUGUUGGUGUUUACAAAUCAAACGAUAUCAAUGAAUUUUUCAAAACCAGAAUGUAUUAUCAGUAUCUAUUUUUUUUUAUUUUUCAAUAGUCAAAAGAAAUAAAGCAUCAAUACAUGCUCAUACUAAUAAAAUAUUAUUAAAAAUUCUUAAAUCACUGUGAAUCUUACAAUUGUUUUACAAAAACUUAUUCACUGAUACAUUAAAAACAUAGUUUCAUGUUACAUUAGCAUGGAAUCUACAUACAGUGUCUGAAACAUGUAAGAAUUAGUAAUUAGUUAUGUACUUGAAAGCACAUUAUUUCAAAUUUUCAUUUGAAAGUAAUAAUAAAACUUUAUGUAACAUGUUUCAGUUUCUCAUUAGAACCUAAAAUUAGAAUCUAUCAAAUUAAUCAUCCAAUACUCAAGCAUAGUACCUAGAGUCAUAUCAUCCAUGAAUUUUGCCUUGGUUCGAUUUUAAAUUUUCAUUUGUUGUCAAACUUCCAAACAAAAUCCAAUUUCCUAAAACUAAAAAAUAAAAAAUUAUUUAUAAGCUUUGCGUAAGGAAUUCCACCAUUCCCAAAGUUUCAAGGUGUGGGAAACCAAAUAAUAAAAAUAGUUUGGAAAUUCUGUAGAAAAUGAAUGGACACAACCUUUCAUAUAUUCUUUGAAAUCACACAUAUCAUACUCUAAUUGUUUUGAUCAUGUGUGCAGGUGUUCCCUAAAUCAAUAAAUUAUAAACCUUAUUAAAUUGUAAAGUACAUCCAGCACCUAUAAGCAGGUCCAAGUCAUAAAAUCCAUUAUAAUUGACAAAACUGGUACAAAAUUUGCUGGCUUAAAAUCCCUAAUUCAUACCAGAUACUGUAGUUCAGCAAGGAGACCAAGCAUGAGCUUGCCCUCUAAUGCUAUUAGUCUAUAAAUCAGUAGAAAAAUUAGCAAGUAAACCAAUGAACUCAUAAUACCAGGUUUAGGGUUUAAGUUAUUUGUAAAUAUUAGAAUUAAUAUUCAAAAAAAGAAGAAGAAGAAGUUUAUGCACCAAAUUAACUAUACAAAUAUUAUGCAAUUUAAAUUUAUCUAAUAAUGUUCUAUAUAAAUAUAAGUAGAUAAUUCAAAUUUUCAAAAAUAUAUGAAUAAAUUACUUGCAAUCAAUUAUUGUUUCUUAUUAUUAUUAUUAUUAUUAUAACAUAGUUUGAUUAAAUAAUUGGAGGUUACUCGUUUUAUUUUCAUUUUUUAAAUCCUAUUUUUAUUUACUUAUUAAUUUAUUGAAGACUGAUUCGUACUAUUAAAAAGAUAAUUGUAUUUGAUAUCAUUUAAAACAAAUUCGUUUAGAUAUUGUAGAUGAAUACUGACCAAUAGAAUAUUAUUUGUGGCAAGUCUAAGAUGAACAAGGGUUCCACUUAUUGCUCUCUUCUACAAUAUCUAAUCAUUUCUCUAAUCUUUUUCUGUCAAGGGGACUCGAGUAAUUAGAUUGAACACCAAUUUCGAAUAUUUGUCUUUCUCACAAUCCAAUUUAAAGGUUAAUUCUCAUUGACCCAACUCUAUGAAUAGCAUUUUAAAUUAAUUAUUCUACAUCCAUUUUUUAAUUUACUAUAUUUUAAUACAUUUUCAAAAUAUGCUCUUAAUUUUCAAACGUAUCAACAAAUUUAAUCUUCAAAACUAGAACAGGUAGCAGCAGACAGUUUAACACGUUUGCACAACAUUAUGAUAAUAUAUAAUAGAACACUAAACAAAACUAAACAUGUAACAUUAAGCAACAUUUAAACUUCUGAUUUUGGAUCAGGACCCCUACCAGCCUAUUAUCAGCACUUAGAAUUAUGCAAACUACUGCAAUCCUGAUUCAGACAUCUCCAAUUACUCGUAAGCAGGUGCUUAAUUUUUUAUGAAACACGUUCUCAAUGACAUGCUACAUUCAAUCUAAUUACUCGAGUCCCCUUGACAGAAAAAGAGUUCCCAAGUCAGCAAAUAGUAGAAAGCGUAGCAGCAGACAAAAGAAACUACAAAUCAAAUAUUAAACUCGACGUAGAUAAUUUGAGAAUCCAGUAAAGUCUACAAACUUAAUGUGCAGGUGACGCUACUCUACUGGUCUACUUUGAGGAACCUCCUGUGAUGACGAUCUGAAAAGCUAAACUAUUUGAGUGGGCGUCUAGCUUUCCAGAAACUUAGAACUACGCUAGCAGUAGACUACGGUUACUUAGAGCUAUUUCCAGAACUGUCCUUUCAAGUCGUAGUGUCUGGUCAUAUUCAAACAUAUUGAACACAUCAAUACCACUUUCCCAAAAACUUUUGGUCUCCAAUCUGGGAGCCCAGAACACUGGGAGACCUAGAAUGUGGAUUUUGCAAGAUAAUAACGAGUGAAAUACUAGAUUCCUGCUAGCAUAAUUUACCAUUACGAUUGCGAAGCGUAGUCAGGAUGCCUAAUCCAAAUCCGCAUGCAGGUAAAGCAGCUGCUUGUAUUCUGAUAACAAUGCAGGGAUGUCGGCAAUUCGUAUCUGAGAUGAAAAAUGACAACUUGUGAACUUUUUGACAUACAAACAGCAUGUAGAUCGCAUGAAAUGGAAUCACUUCUUCAAGUUGCUUAAAGCACUUAAAAUUCUGCCAUGCAGCUAGUUCACUUCUGGGAAGAUCGCUCAUACUUAAGGAUCAUCAAGUAACAUUCCUGAAAAAACUUCAGUGAUGCUCUUCUAGGAGCAAUCUGCUCAACACUGACAUAUCUUAAGUGCAGUAUAAAAAAAACAUUUCGGCCGAGGAACGUGCUUAUUAGAUUUAUGAUAUAUAGAUACAGCUUAAGUUUCAAUACCUGGUUCGCAUCCUUCAAGUGGUAGAACCGGUAUAUCUGCAGCGUAGUGCCUUCUCCAUCCAGACCUCCAACCCUCGAAAUUUCACUACUGCAAAAAUAAUCCUUGUCAACCAGUUGGAAAUUAGAUGACCAUGCGAUACCUUCAAAUUUGUUGCUAAUUGGUUUCUAGUUGCUGAACUCGCAGAAGACAUCACGAGAACAGAUUGGAGGAGUAACAACCUUUGAUGAGUGCCCAGCAAACGCCGGUAGUCCCUAAGUAAGGGACUCAACUCUCGCAGCUGAAUAGAUUGCGCAUUUGAUUGGUUCCAAUGCGCUCUUACUACCUAUAAGAGAUCCAAAAGAUGAUUUCAGCUCUUAUAACGUACCGAUGAUAAGACAAUCAGCUACUUCACAUGUUCAAAAUUGUACACACGUCUUAGCCUGAAACCUACGUAACAAACAGGGAGGAUAGAGGUCUCAUCUGAAUUUGAAAGAAUAUAAAGAUAUAAUCCAUCAUUGACAGGCAUGCCGAAAGUUGAGCCAUCAUUGAAAACUCCUAAAGAGGACAGUGCAUGAUUUCAAAAUCAAAUAUGCACCUUGAGAAGUGAAGUUGCUGUAGCUGGACUAUUCUGAUCAGCUUCGGACAACAAUCCUUUCCCUAACGCAAGAAGCUCUUUAUCAUCGCUAGCUAUUUCAGGAGCUUCCGCGGCAGCAAUGGCUGGUAAUCCAAGUCGUUGUCGCAGAUCAUGGAGUGGCGAUGUAAUGCCUUCAGCUUCAGUCUGCCAGUCAACACAACUACCGUUAUAAAUCAGCUCCAUCGAUAUCUACUGAAGUGUCAUACAAACGCAUAUACCAGAAUGCUGAAAAAGCUGCAAAUAUUUGAUGACAAAUGGAAUAAUGUGGUAUUUAAACACAUACCAAACCUCAGAACUAAACAGAACAUGCGCUUAAGGUAACAUUACUCUGAAACCCAAUCACUACGGCUAAUAAGUUAGCAUACCUUGCUAUCUGUUGAUGGUGGAGGUGAUUUGAGAGUGUUCGGGCCAGGACUUUUUAAACUGCUGGCUGGAGACAGUAGUGCACGCUUUGCAAUUUCAUCUUCUGCAUACAUCAAUGGAGAAGGGUUGAUAAACUCAGUACCCAUCUCAUUCCCAACUGCAUACAGAAUGAAGAAUCUGUUCUCAAACUAUUGCUCUCGAUGUGAACUAGGGUUUUAAGACAAGGACAACUUGCUUGUGCAUUUAACCCAUUGGAUAAUGGACACAACUAAUAAUGAUAAGUCGUAUCAAAAAUAAAUUCAUUGAUUUCCCCAACAAUAAAAUUCACUUGGCUCUUCAGAUUCUCAACUAACUAUUUCAUAAUUCCAUGGUGCAUGAUUUGUCAGAAUUCUGUGUAAGAAAGAGCAGCAGACCGACCUUCAUUUACAAGCCACCACAUGUCACCAAACGUUGUUUUGCCGUCAUAACCUCCUAUCAGCAAGAAUCGCGGACCUAUGCGAGUCAUAGUGUGGUACGCCCUCGCUGGAGGUGGUUC
rnacentral:lncRNA from 1 species